rnacentral:rRNA from 1 species
UCCUACGGGAGGCAGCAGUGGGGAAUAUUGCACAAUGGGGGAAACCCUGAUGCAGCAACGCCGCGUGAGUGAAGAAGGUUUUCGGAUUGUAAAGCUCUGUUAGCAGGGAAGAGGAAGGACGGUACCUGCAGAGGAAGCCCCGGCUAACUACGUGCCAGCAGCCGCGGUAAUACGUAGGGGGCUAGCGUUAUCCGGAAUUACUGGGCGUAAAGGGUGCGUAGGUGGUUUCUUAAGUCAGAGGUGAAAGGCUACGGCUCAACCGUAGUAAGCCUUUGAAACUGGGGAACUUGAGUGCAGGAGAGGAG